CAAGUUUACCCACGGGCCGGCCGAAUCCGGCCAGGUCUUGUCCUCGUUUCGGUCCGGCCCACGCGCCAACGACCUCCCCUAUGCACGCUCUGUUUUUCCCCCCUCUCAAUCAAGAACUCGCACCGUCGCACGCAGCCGUGGCUAUAAGUGGGGGAGGAAGAAAGAAGAAGACGACGAAGCCAACCCAUCCAAGCGGCAGCAGAGCAGACGGCCGGCGACGAACCAAUCCAGCCAGCCGAACUCGUCAGCGCGCAGCCGCCCUUCCCGCGAGAUGCAUAUCACUGUCAAAGAUUGCGACGACGUGCCGUGAUGAUUGAUUAUUAGUUGGACGAGCCUGCUGGGGCUGAACAUUUGACUUUUCACCAAAACAAGUGAUCAGAAGCGCUUCCCCAGUUGGCAUCAUCCUGCAGACAGCGUUUAGGAUGAGCAUUAUCUUUAUCUCCCACUAUAUAUGUAUGUGCAGGGUGCUUCAUAUAGCUCCCAACUUCCCAAGAACACCCUCAAGCAUACAAGCCUUGGGUUUCUACCCUGCACUGAACUAAUUGAGAAGCAUAAACCAUGGGUGGGGUACUUGGUUUGAUACAGAUUGAUCAAUCAACAGUAGCCAUCAAGGAGACUUUUGGGAAGUUUGAUGCGAUCCUGCAACCUGGAUGCCACUGCUUGCCAUGGUGCCUAGGGCAGCAGAUUGCUGGAUAUCUUUCUCUGCGUGUGCAGCAGCUUGACGUCCGAUGCGAAACCAAGACCAAGGAUAAUGUCUUUGUCAACGUUGUGGCAUCUGUGCAGUACCGUGCUCUUGCUGACAAGGCAUCUGAUGCCUUUUACAGGCUUAGCAACACCAGGGAGCAAAUCCAGUCCUAUGUCUUUGAUGUGAUCAGGGCUAGCGUUCCAAAGAUGAACUUGGAUGAUGUAUUUGAGCAGAAGAAUGAAAUAGCAAGGGCUGUGGAGGAUGAACUUGAAAAGGCAAUGUCUGCCUACGGGUACGAGAUUGUGCAAACUCUGAUUGUUGAUAUUGAGCCAGAUGAACAUGUGAAGAGAGCCAUGAAUGAGAUCAAUGCAGCUGCUAGGAUGAGGUUGGCAGCCACUGAGAAAGCCGAGGCGGAAAAGAUUCUGCAGAUCAAGAGGGCUGAAGGUGAGGCAGAAUCGAAAUACUUGGCUGGUGUGGGUAUUGCAAGGCAGCGCCAGGCCAUAGUGGACGGGCUGAGAGACAGUGUUCUCGCCUUCUCUGAGAAUGUGCCUGGGACCUCUUCGAAGGAUGUCAUGGAUAUGGUUUUGGUGACCCAGUACUUCGAUACCAUGAAGGACAUUGGGGCCUCUUCCAAGUCUUCAGCAGUGUUCAUCCCUCACGGGCCUGGCGCUGUCAAAGACAUCGCUUCGCAGAUACGAGAUGGUCAGCUCCAGGGCAGGAUGGUUUGAGGAGUGUUGGAAAAUGGAUGCCACUUUUAUAUGCAUACUUUUAAGUACAUACAGCUUAUUCUUAUACUAUGUGUGAGGUGAGGUGAGGUUGUGCCUAGAUGGAUGUUAAUAUCAGUACUUGCUUGGGUUGUGCAACUCGUAUCUGUAAAAAAUAUCAGUUGUGCUAUCACUGUGUUCGCAACUAUUUGUGAAUUGAGAGUGUUAUAUGUUACUAUAUGGUUAUUAUACUAUAAUUUCUAUGUUGCUACUAGUUUUGUCAUUUAACUCUUUGAAACCUUGGAAUUUUGGAGAUUGUUCCGAAGCUCCUCCCACUGAAAUUUAGCCGAAUAGGCCCCCAGUUUCUCGUUCUUACUACUUAAUGACAUGUUAUUUGGUAUUUGGAUUUUGUGUGUGUUCAUCGUAUUGUGAACCACAGUUCAUUGUAUUGUCAUGUGAGCCGCAGCUUGUUAUGCUCUAUGCUGAAUGGCAGCAGAGGUUCGCACCCUGCUCCCCACUUGAUGUAAAAACAAAUGCAGACUUCGAUACUCCACAUUUCAAGAAAGGUCGUGUCCAAUACCAAAAAUCUUUAAGAGGUACAUUCAUGCCACAGUUUACCACGGAUUUGAUACAAGGUGGACAACUUUGUGUGCACCAAAAUCUAGAUGAUCAUGCAAUGCUGGAUGCAAAUAUGUAG
rnacentral:rRNA from 1 species